rnacentral:lncRNA from 1 species
GACGUCGUGGGCUGCAGCGCAGCAGCACCCAACGCAGUGAGUACCUUGAUCUCCUGCGUGGCCUCGUCCCUGGUCUUAGUUCCACCGGGCAGCGGGAGUCAGGACCGCCUGUCCUCAGACCCCUCCGCAGCGACUGUGGCGGCCGCAGGUUGCACGCCAGGGCCUGUACUGACCACCUCCACGUGCCACUGGGGCUGUAAGGAGGAAUGGCGGCCGUGGGCAGCCUGCUUGGGUAAGCAUG